UAAACUUGACUUAUCCGCAAAGCAAAUUGUUUUGGGUUUAAAAUUAAAAACGGUCAACCACUAAAGUAGUUCUUAAUUUGGGAUACAAUAAAUAUAAAAUAACAACAUAAUAUACUUCACUAUGACCUCAGAAAAAAACGCUCAAGUGGGACAAGCUCGUGAAACUUUUCAAAUGCUUUUUCAAAUUUCUCAACUUCUCAGCACCGGUUUGGACGCUGAAACCCUAACUAUAUGUAUUAGGCUUUGUGAAUUAGGAGUGGAUCCUGAAGUGCUAGCUCAUGUCAUCAAAGAAAUAAGAAAAGUGGGCGAAAAUGCAGCCGAGAUCAAACCAUCCAGUUUACAGUCGCAUUAAAUAAUAUCAAAUCUUUAACAUAAGUUUAUUAAGUAUUAUUUACUUUGUCACUAAUUUAUUAAUUAGAAAAACAAAAUGUGCCCUAUUUAUUGUUAUAAUUA